rnacentral:lncRNA from 1 species
GAGAAGAGCACAGGGUGCUGGAUCUCUGGCCCACCAUACCAGCAUAGCAAUAAGGUUCUUGGCUGGGAGCUUUCAUUGAUACUUGCAAUUUUGAAGGAAAAAAAUAGUGUGAACAGUGAAAACUGUGUGCAGUCCACAUCAUAAAUCAAGAAGUGACUGGUUUUAUUGACUGGCCUCAUUGUAACAUCUUGCCUGAGCAGUUGUAAAAAAGAUUUCAUUAUGGUGGUGAGUUAGAGCUUUUU